rnacentral:misc_RNA from 1 species
AAAAUGCGAUACUUGGUGUGAAUUGCAGAAUCCCGUGAACCAUCGAGUUUUUGAACGCAAGUUGCGCCCGAAGCCAUCCGGCUGAGGGCACGCCUGCCUGGGCGUCACGCAUCGCGUCGCUCCCCACCAUACCUCCCCAACGGGUUGGCAUGGUGUUGGGGGCGGAUAAUGGCCUCCCGUGCUUGUGUUUCGGUUGGCCUAAAUAAGAGUUCCCUUCGGCGGACACACGACUAGUGGUGGUUGAAUAGACCCUCGUCUUUUGUUGCGUGUCGUGAGCUGUAAGGGUAGCCCUCAUCAACGACCCCAUUGUAUCGUCUUCGGAUGAUGCUUCGACCGCGACCCCAGGUCAGGCGGGACUACCCGCUGAGUUUAAGC